rnacentral:ncRNA from 1 species
UUGGUCAGCGUGCUGUUCAGCGGCUUGAUAAAGAGGUUGUUGUUCUGGAGCCGGACGUCACCUUUGGCGGUCGUCAUUUCGCCAUCAAGCGGGAUGUCCAGAUGUAAGCGAGCAUUCACAUCGCCAUCCAGCUGCAGCUGAUCGAGCGUUGCCGCCAGCGAUUCCUUUAGCGGCGUCCCGUCAAAGUAGGGGCCAACCGCCUUGCCGGGCCCCUUGAUGUCCGCAUCAAUGAGCAGCUUCUCUUUGGAGUAAUCCGGGAUGUUUGCCGUCAGGUUGCUGGCGGUCACACCGCCCAGCGCCACGCUGUCCGUCUUCAUCCACAGCCCGUCAUUGAGGAAGUUCAGUUCGAUAUUGAGGUUUUGCAGCGCAGGCCAGUCCGGCUGGAAGGCAAAGGUCGCGUUGUGUAACGGCAC